rnacentral:rRNA from 1 species
AACGAACGCUGGCGGCAUGCCUAACACAUGCAAGUCGAACGAGACCUUCGGGUCUAGUGGCGCACGGGUGCGUAACGCGUGGGAACCUGCCCUUAGGUUCGGAAUAACUCCCCGUAAGGGGUGCUAAUACCGGUUAAUGUCUUCGGACCAAGGAUUUAUCGCCUUUGGAUGGGCCCGCGUUGGAUUAGCUAGUUGGUAGGGUAAAAGCCUACCAAGGCGACGAUCCAUAGCUGGUCUGAGAGGAUGAUCAGCCACACUGGGACUGAGACACGGCCCAGACUCCUACGGGAGGCAGCAGUGGGGAAUAUUGGACAAUGGGCGAAAGCCUGAUCCAGCAAUGCCGCGUGAGUGAUGAAGGCCUUAGGGUUGUAAAGCUCUUUUACCCGGGAUGAUAAUGACAGUACCGGGAGAAUAAGCUCCGGCUAACUCCGUG